GAUGAACGCUGGCGGCGUGCCUAAUACAUGCAAGUCGAGCGAACGGACGAGAAGCUUGCUUUUCUGAUGUUAGCGGCGGACGGGUGAGUAACACGUGGAUAACCUACCUAUAAGACGGGGAUAACUUCGGGAAACCGGAGCUAAUACCGGAUAAUAUUUUGAACCGCAUGGUUCAAAAGUGAAAGACGGUCUUGCUGUCACUUAUAGAUGGAUCCGCGCUGCAUUAGCUAGUGGGUAAGGUAACGGCUUACCAAGGCAACGAUGCAUAGCCGACCUGAGAGGGUGAUCGGCCACACUGGAACUGAGACACGGUCCAGACUCCUACGGGAGGCAGCAGUAGGGAAUCUUCCGCAAUGGGCGAAAGCCUGACCGAGCAACGCCGCGUGAGUGAUGAAGGUCUUCGGAUCGUAAAACUCUGUUAUUAGGGAAGAACAUAUGUGUAAGUAACUGUGCACAUCUUGACGGUACCUAAUCAGAAAGCCACGGCUAACUACGUG
rnacentral:rRNA from 1 species